GGCAGUGCUCCGGCAGGUGCCUGGCACGUCUGUCAAGGUGAUGGCUGAUCGCGCAGGCCUGGCCUUCUUGGCGUCCCCAAAGAUCUCAUCUGGCUGCAGUAAGCUACUGAUGUGAUAACUUCGCGCUACUUUCUGACUGGUCGCCCCGCCUUCCCCGAGAUUUGGAUGUAGAACUCUCAGCUCCUCCAGGACCGUGUCUGCCUGUGUGCUACCAUGCUUCCCACCAUGCUGAUAAUGGACUAAACCUCUGAAACUGCACUCUCACUGUGCAGUCUGGGCUCGCCUGUAAUGUGUGAUCAUCCUGCCUCAGCUUCUGGAGUGCUGGGGUUUGGUGUUACGUUUUCUGUCCAUUUCUCUCUUAUUUCUCUAUGAAUACUUUCAUUUGAUUGUGUUUCCAUUAAAAAUGUUUAUACUGUA